rnacentral:rRNA from 1 species
UACGGAGGGGACUAGCGUUGUUCGGAAUUACUGGGCGUAAAGGGCUCGUAGGCGGCCAACUAAGUCAGACGUGAAAUCCCUCGGCUUAACCGGGGAACUGCGUCUGAUACUGGAUGGCUUGAGUUCGGGAGAGGGAUGCGGAAUUCCAGGUGUAGCGGUGAAAUGCGUAGAUAUCUGGAGGAACACCGGUGGCGAAGGCGGCAUCCUGGACCGAUACUGACGCUGAGGAGCGAAAGCCAGGGGAGCAAACGGG